UACGUAGGUGACCAGCGUUGUCCGGAUUUACUGGGCGUAAAGAGCGCGCAGGCGGUCGUUCAAGUCGAGUGUGAAAGCCCCCGGCUCAACUGGGGAGGGUCAUCGAUACUGAUCGACUUGAAGGCAGGAGAGGGAAGUGGAAUUCCCGGUGUAGUGGUGAAAUGCGUAGAUAUCGGGAAGAACACCCGUGGCGAAGGCGGCACUCUGGGACGGUACUGACGCUGAGACGCGAAAGCGUGGGGAGCGAACGGG
rnacentral:rRNA from 1 species